AAGGGACCUAGCGUAGUUCGGAAUUACUGGGCUUAAAGAGUUCGUAGGUUGUUAAAAAAGUUGGUGGUGAAAUCCCAGAGCUUAACUCUGGAACUGCCAUCAAAACUUUUUAGCUAGAGUAUGAUAGAGGAAAGCAGAAUUUCUAGUGUAGAGGUGAAAUUCGUAGAUAUUAGAAAGAAUACCAAUUGCGAAGGCAGCUUUCUGGAUCAUUACUGACACUGAGGAACGAAAGCAUGGGUAGCGAAGAGGAUUAAAUACCCUCGUAUUCCAUGCCGUAAACGAUGUGUGUUAGACGUUGGAAAUUUAUUUCUGUGUCGCAGCG
rnacentral:rRNA from 1 species